AAGAAGAUCUCUCUGUCUUCUGUAUAUACCCUGUAGAUCCGAAUUUGUGUAAGAAAUUUUGUGGUCACAAAUUCGUAUCUAGGGGAAUAUGUAGUUGACAUAAACACUCCGCUCGUUUUU
ensembl:miRNA microRNA 10a